rnacentral:piRNA from 1 species
UGGACAGGUUCGCUUGGUGUCUUUGAUGC